CUGAGAGGAUGGUCAGCCACACUGGGACUGAGACACUGCCCAGACUCCUACGGGAGGCUGCAGUCGAGAAUCAUUUGCAAUGCGCGAAAGCGUGACAAUGCGACGCUGCGUGGAGGAUGAAGGCUCUAGGGUUGUAAACUCCUGUCAUGCGGGAAAAAUAGCUCCGAGAAGAUAACGCUCGGAGUUUGAUGGUACCGCAAGAGGAAGCCACGGCUAACUUCGUGCCAGCAGCCGCGGUAAUACGAAGGUGGCUAGCGUUGUUCGGAUUUACUGGGCGUAAAGGGUGCGUAGGUGGUAGCGUGUGUCGGAUGUGAAAUCCUGGGGCUCAACCCCAGAACUGCAUCCGAAACUGCGUAACUAGAGACUAGGAGAGGAGAGCGGAAUUCAGGGUGUAGCGGUGAAAUGCGUUGAUAUCCUGAAGAACACCGGUUGCGAAGGCGGCUCUCUGGAAUGGAUCUGACACUGAGGCACGAAAGCGUGGGUAGCGAACAGGAUUAGAUACCCUGGUAGUCCACGCCGUAAACGGUGCGCACUUGGUGUGGGAGGUAUUGACCCCUCCCGUGCCGUAGCUAACGCGUUAAGUGCGCCGCCUGGGGAGUACGGCCGCAAGGCUAAAACUCAAAGAAAUUGACGGGGGCCCGCACAAGCGGAGGAGCAUGUGGCUUAAUUCGAUGCAACGCGAAGAACCUUACCAGGGCUUGACAUCUAGCUGCACGCCCCGGGAAACCGGGGAAGCUUUUGAAGGUGCUAGACAGGUGCUGCAUGGCUGUCGUCAGUUCGUGCCGUGAGGUGUUUGGUUAAGUCCAGCAACGAACGCAACCCCUAUGUUUAGUUGCCACCGGCGGUGAUGAGCCGUCGAGCACUCUAGACAGACUGCCCGUACAAGCGGGAGGAAGGUGGGGAUGACGUCAAGUCAGUAUGGCCCUUACGCCCUGGGCUGCACACGUGCUACAAUGGUCGGUACAGUUGGAAGCAAUACCGCGAGGUGGAGCAAAUCCAUGAAACCGGCCCCAGUUCGGAUUGGAGUCUGCAAUUCGACUCCAUGAAGUUGGAUUCGCUAGUAAUGCCGUAUCAGAUACGACGGCGUGAAUGCGUUCCCGGGCCUUGUACACACCGCCCGUCACAUCAUGAAAGCCGACUGCACCCGUAAUCGCUGAUCUAACCCGCAAGGGAGGAAGGCGCUGAAGGUGUGGGUGGUGAUUGGGAUGAAGUCGUAACAAGGUA
rnacentral:rRNA from 1 species